UAGAUACUACAUACACACAUGGAUAAGAAACAGGAAGUCGGUUUCCAAUUAAAGCUGUACAAGAUCAAAGGAUGACGUCAUAUCCUGUGUGCCAUGCUCUUGGCUAAAAUGGUGGCUCUAUGAAUGCUAAGUGCCGUUAGGGAGAGAUUGUUACCAUCCCGUAAAUGUCUGUAAAACAAGUUUGUGCGCAUGCGCAUCAGUGCAAAAUGGAACUUAGUUUUUGUCAGGACUGCUCUAGGGACUUUUAAAGCCUUGGGACUCUCUGAAAUAAAAAAAACUAAACCCUAAACCAACUAAGGGGCUCCUAAAUUGAGUAGGGACGCUCUAAAAAAAAAACCGCCACCCUAACCCCUAAACCCUAAAAACAAUAGCUAAGUCCUAAAAAAACAAUAGCCAACUAGGGGACUAACAUAACUAGAGGAGAAGGCUAAGUCAGUAGAAAAGGUAAAAAGUUAAAUUUUGAAAGUAAAAAAAAAAGAAAAGCAAAUUUGCCCUGCCCUGAGCUGGAAUCGAACCAGUACCACGUCCACAUUCUGCCCCACUGAGCCACCACGAUCCUGCUGCCUCAACCCCACUGAUUGUCGUAUCUAUACUUAAUUUCUAUAUUGUUAUAAGAUAGUAUACUGGGGCGAAGCCCCAGUAUAGUAUACAGGCGAAGCCUGUAAAAGUCCGUUGACGGAUAGUUUACGGGAUGGUAACAAUCUCUCCCUAAUGGCUAGUUGAAUAAGUGAGUGUAUUUUAUAUUUUUUGAAAGUGGUCAUUUUAACCAGAUUAGAUUCAAUCAGUGUCUUUGUUGAAGAGCUAUGUUACAAAAUGUGUUGGCCUCUCAUAUUUUUGUUGAACCACUUUUACUCUACUGUAGACUUGUUUGGUGAGUGUCCUUUAGAUAUAAUAUGAACACAACUAUGCUGCGUGUACUGAAGGUAUUGGCUUGUCUGUGCCACUUAUAAUGACAGAUUUAUAGCCAUUUUAGUUGUUUUUCAGUGGUGUCAUUUGUAAACCACUUGUAUAGAAAACUGUCCAGGUUAUGAAUGUUUUUCUUUGAUUUAUCUGUUCCUUUAUGACUUUUGUGUGUACUGCAAGUGUUUUUAUAUUUUUAAUUGCUUUGACCAGCUCAAAACGGAGCAAACUAUCAGUCACUAUAG